GUGUUUUUGAUAACAAUGAAAAGAAUUUCCUUUUUAUUUAGGUCACUUCUGAUUAGCAGUUGAUCCAUCGACCUGUUUGUUUAAUCAUGGGCAACUUUCCAACCUUCAACGAUUAGCUCUUGGUUUAUAUUUAGGUGGCAACUUUUACGGAAAAUGAAAUGGUGAUAAUGAAUAUUUUGAUCUUGUUUGCAGUUGUAACUCUUUAUUGUUUGACAAGAUUACAGAGACCUUUGUUUGCUCAUGGUUCUUUGAGGGUUGUUUUUCUGUCUCAGUUAUCACUGUUCUGUAUUCUAGUCGGGUUUUUUUUUCUUUAGGAAUGUUGUUAAAAAACCAAAGUUUUCACUCAGAAUGAAAUGUCCAGAGUAUGUACUUUUGUACACAGAUGAACUGAAAGCUUCACGCCUGGGGAAAACUUUCCUCAUGAAUCCAAGUUUUGAUUUUUAAAUUUGUUAUAUUUUAGGGUAUUCACAAAAUGUAGAUAGUCUGAAUUUUAAGGAAAUUUAAAAUGCUAAGAUUCGGUGGAAAACUUCUUGGGGCUUGAAGCCAGUAGAUGAUAAUUCAUAUUAUUUUGUUAUCUCACCCAAUUAUUGGUUGCUACAAACUAUGUGCUUGUUUGUUUCUAGAUCUAUGUAUACAAUAUCACCAUGCAUUAUAUGUAUACACACACGUUUAUGUAUAUGCAUAUAUAUCUAUAUAUAUUAUUUACCUGUUAUCGACACUGAGUGUCAAUAUGUAUCAUAUUAUCAUGGCUUCUGACACUGGAAAUAAAUUGUAAUUUUUGGCAAAUUCCAGUUAAACAAAUAAAAUAUUUUUGAAACUAC
rnacentral:sRNA from 1 species